rnacentral:tRNA from 1 species
ACACCCAUAGCUCAGUUGGUAGAGCAUUUACCUUCUAAGUAAAUGGUUGUGGGUUCAAAUCCUACUGGGUGUU